UGGGGAAUUGUUCGCAAUGGGCGCAAGCCUGACGACGCAACGCCGCGUGGGGGAUGAAGGUCUUCGGAUUGUAAACCCCUGUUGGGUGGGACGAGCACUUCCAUGGUGAACAGCCAUGGAGACUGACGGUACCACCUGAGGAAGCCCCGGCUAACUCUGUGCCAGCAGCCGCGGUAAUACAGAGGUCCCGCGCGUUGUUCGGAUUCACUGGGCGUAAAGGGUGCGUAGGUGGCAUGUUAAGUUUGAUGUGAAAGCUCAGGGCUCAACCCUGAAAUGGCAUUGAAUACUAGCGUGCUGGAGGUUUGGAGGGGGGACUGGAAUUCUCGGUGUAGCAGUGAAAUGCGUAGAUAUCGAGAGGAACACCAGUGGCGAAGGCGAGUCCCUGGACAACACCUGACACUGAGGCACGAAAGCUAGGGGAGCAAA
rnacentral:rRNA from 1 species